AUUGAACGCUGGCGGCAGGCCUAACACAUGCAAGUCGAGCGGAGCGGCGGACGGGGGCGUAAUGCCUAGGUAUCUGCCUGGUAGCGGGGGAUAGCGUCCGGAAACGGGAGCGAAGACCACAUCCUAUCAGAUUCGCCUGGGUGGAAUUAGCUAGUGGGUGGGGUAAAGGCCUACCAAGGCGACGAUCCGUAACUGGUCUGAGAGGAUGAUCAGUCACACUGGAACUGAGACACGGUCCAGACUCCUACGGGAGGCAGCAGUGGGGAAUAUUGGACAAUGGGCGAAAGCCUGAUCCAGCCAUGCCGCGUGUGUGAAGAAGGCCUUCGGAUUGUAAAGUACUUUAAGUUGGGAGGCGUUACCCACAGAAGAAGCACCGGCUAACUCCGUGCCAGCAGCCGCGGUAAUAC
rnacentral:rRNA from 1 species